CCUUCGCUCAACAAAUCGCCAUUCGAAGCUUACACACGGAGAUUCUGCUCUGCAGCAUCUCUUCCAAACACAGCUUUGGGAGAAAGUCCCCGGACGUCUCCUUUUUGGAGCAUGCGGAAACGCGCCGCCAUAGAAGCACUGCGGCUGACCUCCGCGCCUUGGCCCAGCUGCCGCAUCUGCCCUGCCUGCUGCUAAAUCCGUUUCUCACGAGGCACUGUCAAACCCUAAUCUUGCGUCUCUGGCCCCUAUGGAUGAAGAUAUGAGUCCGUGCUGGAAGGCUGCGGGAUUGGGGUGGCGACGCUGAAUGGAGAUGGAUGGCAGGUGGACGUUGUCAUGUCUGCCGGCUGUGGUAUCGGGUGCAGAGGAUUUGUUGUCGAGGUCGAUAGUUAUGCGAUUGCCUGGCGCAAGCUUGGUUACUCGAUGGGGCCCAUUCUUGAUGCGAAG
rnacentral:RNase_MRP_RNA from 19 species